rnacentral:rRNA from 1 species
AACUCUGAUGCAGCGAUGCCGCGUGAGUGAAGAAGGCCUUUGGGUUGUAAAGCUCUUUCGUCGGGGAAGAAAAUGACUGUACCCGAAUAAGAAGGUCCGGCUAACUUCGUGCCAGCAGCCGCGGUAAUACGAAGGGACCUAGCGUAGUUCGGAAUUACUGGGCUUAAAGAGUUCGUAGGUGGUUGAAAAAGUUGGUGGUGAAAUCCCAGAGCUUAACUCUGGAACUGCCAUCAAAACUUUUCAGCUAGAGUAUGAUAGAGGAAAGCAGAAUUUCUAGUGUAGAGGUGAAAUUCGUAGAUAUUAGAAAGAAUACCAAUUGCGAAGGCAGCUUUCUGGAUCAUUACUGACACUGAGGAACGAAAGCAUGGGUAGCGAAGAGGAUUAGAUACCCUCGUAGUCCAUGCCGUAAACGAUGUGUGUUAGACGUUGGAAAUUUAUUUUCAGUGUCGCAGCGAAAGCGAUAAACACACCGCCUGGGGAGUACGACCGCAAGGUUAAAACUCAAAUGAAUUGACGGGGACCCGCACAAGUAGUGGAGCAUGUGGUUUAAUUCGAAGAUACGCGCAGAACCUUACCAACACUUGACAUGUUCGUCGCGACUCUAAGAGAUUAGAGUUUUCGGUUCGGCCGGACGAAACACAGGUGCUGCAUGGCUGUCGUCAGCUCGUGUCGUGAGAUGUUGGGUUAAGUCCCGCAACGAGCGCAACCCUCACUUUUAGUUGCCAUCAUUAAGUUGGGCACUCUGAAAGAACUGCCAGUGAUAAGCUGGAGGAAGGUGGGGAUGACGUCAAGUCCUCAUGGCCCUUACGUGUUGGGC